ensembl:lncRNA
CCCAUGGACUGCAGCCCGCCAGGUUCCUCUGUCCAUUGGAUUUUUCCAAGCAAGAAUGCUGGACUGGAUUGCCAUUUCCUCCCUGGGGGGAUCUUCCCAACCCAGAGUUCGAACCCGCAUCUUCUGCAUUGGCAGGCAGAUUCUUUACCACUGGCCUCACCUGGGAAGCCCCACUGGUAAAGGAGCUGUUAAAGGGGCAUAAUAACCCUCACUGAGUCGCUAUGGGGAUUAAAUGAGAUGAUGCAUGUGACAUGCUUGGCACAGAGCCUGACACGGAGCAGCCCCAGAUGAAGGUUAAUUACUAUUGUCACAAGCACUUACAUGUGUAGUGAGUUGUGUAAACGAAGAGAGCUUAGAGAGCAGAGCCUGGGAGCUCCCGGCAGGGUCAUUGCCUACCUUUCCAGUAACAGUGGCCCCAUAGGGUAAAGGGAAAUAUCAUCAGACUUGCCACCAUCACUCUCUUUCAGUAAAAUCGUGGUCAUCAAGGAUCCACAGCACUGCUGCAAUCUCCUGACCACAUGGGCAGUACUGAAAGGAAGGACAAGGCAGAACGUCUAGAAGGCUAUUAAACAGAGAGGGGUGACUGGUCCACCAGUCACAUUUUGACUUCAUGGAAAAGGUUAAGAGACUGCACAGUAAAGCACAGUGUCUGGAGGAGGAGAGGAACCACAGCGGCAGUCUGGAGGAGAGAGGGGAAUGGGAGACAGCGGCGCUGCCCCACCUUGAACCCCUGGUCCUGAGCCAGGCGCGGCCCUUCUGCUGGCCUGUUCAUUCCAAGCACCAACAUCUGCCCUGAAUGCUUCAAGGUAAUUAGCACCACAUGUUAUCAACAGGAAGCUGGUACCCACGGGCACUUGAGAUAAUUGUUUCAGCACCAGCACGUCUCUGCCUACCGUGAAAGGUCACUGCAGCCGAUAUAUUCCCACCACCCCCAUCCCUCUCAUCAAAUGAAAAAAGCUGUCCCUGUGACUGCAGUUCUAUCAGUUCUUUGGUGCCGGGCUCAGGGCAUCCACACAAAGGCUUCUCAGAUGGACAUGUGCUCCAGGAGUUUGUAGUGAUUACUUCCUGUGACAUCGCAGUGUGGCCAUCCCCUCAUACUGGCAGUAGUUGAGGAACACAGCCAGGUUUCGUGUGUCUGGGACCUGAUGUGCUCAGAAGAAGAAAAUACAAUUGCAUUAGAUGACUGUGACCAAAACUGCUCAGGACCCCUGCCAAAGUCCGAGGAAGCAUCUUCCAGAGAGCCAGAAGAAGUGGAAAUCUCAGUGCCCUGGCCAGUCCUGCUCCAGGAAGAGCAAACAGGAGCAAGAAGAAUCUAAAUUGUGAAGUAAGUCAGCAGCUGGAGGCCCCAGCACGAGUUUCUCAGCAGGCAGCCAUGUCCUUCUGUCUGCAUGGAGAGCUGAUGGCCCCCACAGGUCAAGGCUUCAGACACGGCAGCAAGAAAUGCAGGACUGCCCCCAGGCAGCCAGCAUGUGCUUGUUACUCUGUGCGCCCAGUCCACGGAGACCUCCUGCACCCGGGUCAGGAACGGGAGCUCGCCUUCUGCAGACACUGACCUCCUACAUGGCACCCCCCAGUCCCACCCAGGUGAUAGCUGCACCAAGUCACGGGGAAGGGAAAUUUCAGUGGCUCCCCUGUCUUCUCCAUCAGACCCCCACAAGACCUCCCCCGCAGAGCGCUGGCCACACUGGUUUCUCCCCACCUCUAGAAAAUGCCCGCCCCCCCCCCGGCUCAGGGCCUCUGGCUUGGUUAAUGCCCUGCAUCCUUCAUUUCUCCUUCAGUCACACAGAGGGGCAAAUCCCCAGGUGGAACCACAGUCCUCUCCUGCACGCACUUUCUCCUGUUGUCAUUUUACUUCCAGCAUGUGCUUACUUGGUUAAUGCUGGUUUCCCCCACUAGACUGUCAUCAUCAUGAGCACAGGGUCGAGCCUAGGUCUGCUUUUACUAACCACUUUGUCCCCUGUACCUGGCACUCGGGUGGCCGCCCUAGGUAUGCAUUACCCAAACUGAGUCUUAAGAAGAUCCCAUUUGCUCAGUUAACAAUCAGUGUGCUCAGAGCACACUGAUGCUCAAACAGAUGCCCAGUGUGAGCAUUAGUGUACUCUCGUCUCAUGGCAUGUAGUAACAAUCUCAGACAACAACAUCAGCAUGUAAUACGACCACGUGUAAAACAGUUAGCUAGCAGGAAGCUGCUGUGCAGCACAGGGAGCUCAGCUCCGUGCUCCGUGAUGACCUAGACAGGUUGGAUGGGGCUGUGGGUGGGAAGGAGGCUCAAGAAGGAGGGGAUGUAUGUAUGCUGCUGCUGCUGCUAAGUCACUUCAGUCGUGUCCGACCCUGUGCGACCCCAGAGAC